rnacentral:lncRNA from 1 species
AUGUCACAGAAAAGUAAAGCUGCUCAGGGAGGAGGCCGGUGGUCCAUGCAGUCCGUGCCGUCAGACGAUUGGCAUCUGAACCUGUUGGCUGGCUUUUCGUUUUGGCCACUUCCAUGCCAGCAUGAAGUUAGGAAGCGAUGGGAUCUCAGCACUUUGCACUACGAUCUUCGUGUCGUUUUCACAAGUACUCUCAGGCCACUGACAGAAAUGCUGCCCGUGAGUUCUUUGCAAACCAUCAACUCGGAGCUGAACUUCAGCAGGACAAUUCUGGCCAGGAGGUUCUCCUCUAAACACCGGCAGACACUUCAAUGCUGUUUAUCUCUGGUAAGACUGGGGUGAUUUUAAUGCACUCCAAAGGAUUUCCUAGCUUUUUUGGGAGUGUUAAAGUUGUAUGUUGAAGCUGGGCAGAUCUAAGCAGGGAUCAGAGGUGGGAGCAUUUGCUGUAGCUUGAUGGUCGGGGAUUUACUCUAGCCUCUGUGAUACGAUAUUUGAGAAUUGGGCACCUUGUAUUUCUCAGUUCUUUAACUUGUAAAGUCGGAAGCAGCCUUUUCCUUUCAGUUAAGUGCUUUGACUUUUACAAGUGAGAAAUGUUAAACAAAUAGAUUGAAACCACUGCAGUCAUGGGAAUAUAUUCUUUAACUUCAGGGAGAUUUGGCUUAUGGCCCGUAUCAUAUUGUAUUGUGCCGGCUCAAUUAGGAAAAGAAUAAUGAAUUAAAAGGUCAUAGCUCUUUAAAUUAAAAUGUGGGUAAAAGGGCAAAAUGUGUGUGAGGGGCUUCCUCCUCCACUGCCCUGGGCAUUUACCAUUAACUAUCAAUGGGAACGCUCCAUCCAACAAGUUCCCUAAUCUCCUUUUAAUCUCAUUGAGUCCUGAACGUUUUCUGGAAAACGUUUUUCAGAACUAAUCUGCCCGGGCAGGGCGGGGAAAAUGUUAAAACACACAAAAAUCUGCGCAACAGGAAAUAAUGUUAGAAAGCUGUGAAAAUCAUUUAUCCUUUUGAAGCGUAAUGGUUUUUAAUUUUCUCAUGCCCUGAUCUCCCUGGCAACAAUUUAAAAGUGCAUAAGCAUUCAUGAAUCAAAGCCGUGCACGUCUGCAUUUUUAAUUAUGUGUCAUUGGAUUGAAACUUUCCCUUUGAUCUUUGCAUUUAAAGGGAUUUACAAUUUAAUGAUUACAAUCCCCCUCCCCCCCAAGUCUGUGCUCGUUAUUGAGCAAUGUCACCACGGGGUCCCUGUUGGACGGGGGGACGACAGUUUGGUUUGGGAUGCCAGAAGCACGUCUGAAACCUGCCUUAUGCUCUGGCUCCUGGCAAAGAGCUGCGUGCGGUGGGGCUUCCCGGCGAUG